GCACCACAACAGGUGGAGCCUGCGGUUUAAUUCGGACUCAACGCCGGGAAACUCACCAGAUAAGACAGCUGAAUGAUAGUCGGGCUGAAGACUCUACUUGACUAGCUGAGAGGAGGUGCAUGGCCGUCGUCAGUUCGUACUGUGAAGCAUCCUGUUAAGUCAGGCAACGAGCGAGACCCACGCCAACAGUUGCCAGCUCGUCCUCCGGGAUGGUGGGGACACUGUUGGGACCGCUCUGCUAAAGAGGAGAGGAAUGGGCAACGGUAGGUCAGCAUGCCCCGAAUUAUCUGGGCUACACGCGGGCUACAAUGGGUGGGACAAUGGGUAUCGACACCGAAAGGUGAAGGCAAUCUCCUAAACCCAUCCGUAGUUCGGAUUGUGGGCUGCAACUCGCCCACAUGAAGCUGGAAUCUGUAGUAAUCGUGUCUCAAAAUGGCACGGUGAAUAUGUCCCUGCUCCUU
rnacentral:rRNA from 1 species